rnacentral:lncRNA from 1 species
AUAUGUGCACUGCACAUUGCAUUAUCAUCAAACGAGUUAAAAGCGAUUGCCGUUACAGUAAACAGUCAGCGACUUUCACUAGUGCAACGAAUCCACGUCAUGCAGAGGCAGCCUCAAAAGAUUAGCAGAUGCCAUCUUUCACCGUCGAAAGAAUUCUGGAAACCAAGUGGUUUCAGUGGCGAUUGGCUGUUGAUGGAACAUGUACAUGUGCGUCAGCAGCGGUCAGCAGUAUCGUCAGCUGGACCGAAGAAAAGCGGGACGGGCUCUGCGGCUAUAUACCACCCUGCAGUCUUAUUGGAGAAAGUCGUUUUUCUUUCCUUCCUCUUCUCUUUCUGUCUUUUUCUUUUUUACAACUUUUUGAUUAAUCUUGGACGUGUGUGUCUCCAGGAAGAAGAUCCAAUUAAGGGCGCUUGCGGGAGCAAUUCGACCUUGUUUUCCCUAGCACGUCAUCCAUUCUGGCCUUCUUCCUGCUGCCACUGCAAUUACCGGUAAAUAAUAAGCGUCCCACUAACAAUAUUUAUCAUUUUUAAAACUGUCGCUUGUUGUUAUGCGUCGUCAAGCAAUUUGAUGACGAAACUCAUCAAAUAUCUUGCUGAUCUUUAUCUUAAGGUGUGAUGAGGCCCGAUAGUGAAUCGGUGAUCCUUCGGGGACCGAAAAGCUAGUGCGACCUGAUUCGUUGUUGAAGCGUGUGACACCAUUUAGGACACAUAAAGGGAUACAGAAUGUGUUGGGAUAUUUUUUCCUCCUCGGCAAAGUCAAUGGAAGAAAAAUAUUUCCUCCUUUGUUUUCGGUUUGUUGGACAUCCGUCUUCUAGCACAAGCUUUCUUUCUUUCUACGUUCUUUCACUUUGAACGUAAGGGCAAUGCAUGAGACCAACAGAUUUGAGCACAGGUAUUACGUCUGACAAAGCAGAGCGUAUCCAGUUGCCAAUGAUCAUUCGCAUUCAUUUGAUUUCCUUUCAAUCUGCUGGUCUGCGUGCAUUGUAAUCGAGCAUUUGAAACUAACUAUGUGAGAAUCUUUCCGAUAAGGAGCCGUUCAACUGUAUCAAAGUGUCCUUCGGGUUUUCUCCUAUCACGAAGAACGGUAGUUUUUGUUCAGAAGAGAAAUCAAUCGAAACAAACGACUUUUAAAGACGUCACGCUCAAAUAACAACCAAAAAUUGGACUUUUUGUGUGAACGUUUGAUUACAGUCUGUUAGAAAGAAACUUUAUUCACUAACGUUUAGGAUCAGAUGUUCGGUAAAGCGUGUUUUCUCUAACCAUUUCUCAUUUCAUUUUUCUCAACUCUUAUGAGGUGAGACAUUAUGGACGGAUCGCCAAUGUGGCUUUAUUUGUACAUUGACGUUCCUUCCAAGCAAAUAGGCUCCAUCCUUCUCAAAUCUCAAUGUCGAAUUUCACGAAACCACCUGCCAAGUCAUUGAACUACUUUAUUGGAAUACAGAAUCCAGAAUUCGACACUCGACGGCUAGUGCGUAACAUAACAUUGCAAUAUCACCGCAAACGUGAAAACGUGCAUUAUGCGUACAUGCAACCAUUGAUAUGGCCUAAUGAACUAAAAGUGUCUGGACAUUUUGAAGUAAAAAAAAAAAGUGCAACCCGGAAACGAGGUCUCAUCAAGUGUCUGUUAGUCAAGUGUACACCUGGCUUGGGAUAUCAUACAACCCUCGAGCACAAACUCAGGCAGAAUAACAGGUGGACAAAUCGCCGCCCGGGUUAUUAACGGUGAAUUUUCACCCGUCCUUUUACUUUGUGUCAGUUGUUUGGAGCUUAUAACAAAAUAGUUUACGUGCCGUUAAACUUGGGUUUUCCAGAAAAAUCCAACAUUCAGAGUUAACUUGAACAAGUGGCGUUGUGUAACAGUACACAUAUGCAGAAAGCAGAUGGCCAAGUUUGAGUGAUUCAUGGCCGACUUACCUAGAAAUGGUCGAUCGGUCAGAUAAUCGGCUUUGCCCGUUUAGCUGUUCUUUUUUGGUUUGUUCUAUUUUUUUUGUGCCGCCAUUAAAACGCUCCUCAGAACGUUUUUUGUUGCUCAAAGAUUGUUUUCCUUGCAGCCGUUUUACAAAUAUCUAGACGCACUUGCGGUCGUCGCUAAGAUUACGCAAUUGUUUACAUUUAUCAGGAGGUAAAUACUUGAUGUGGGCCAUAUUCUUAUUUUCCGUCCAAAAAAAGGCAAUCGUAAAAAUUUAGUGAAAUGGAGUAUGAAACAAAAGCUUAUGCUGUACGUUUUGCACGGGAAGUUGCUGUUGAAAAAGUUCCAUGCACCCACGUUAACCGUGCUCCGUCACUGUACAACAAUUCGUGGAGGACGAACGACCAGAUUAAAGAACGUUGUCGUGUUGGCUGGUGCCAAAUUGUCUGUGUUUUGCUGUUUCCAUUUUCCUUGUUCCGACAAAACAACGGAGUGAAACAUAAAACAUUUUUAAUGGAACACUUGUAAACAAAGAAAGAUUCCGGCAAUAUUCUGAAAAUACUGUUAGUGUACAGCUAUGUCGAACCAAAUACAAGAUCAUCUUUCCAAAAAUA